AGAGUUUGAUCCUGGCUCAGAGCGAACGCUGGCGGCAGGCCUAACACAUGCAAGUCGAACGGACCCUUCGGGGUUAGUGGCGGACGGGUGAGUAACACGUGGGAACGUGCCUUUAGGUUCGGAAUAGCUCCUGGAAACGGGUGGUAAUGCCGAAUGUGCCCUUCGGGGGAAAGAUUUAUCGCCUUUAGAGCGGCCCGCGUCUGAUUAGCUAGUUGGUGAGGUAAUGGCUCACCAAGGCGACGAUCAGUAGCUGGUCUGAGAGGAUGACCAGCCACAUUGGGACUGAGACACGGCCCAAACUCCUACGGGAGGCAGCAGUGGGGAAUCUUGCGCAAUGGGCGAAAGCCUGACGCAGCCAUGCCGCGUGAAUGAUAAAGGUCUUAGGAUUGUAAAAUUCUUUCACCGGGGACGAUAAUGACGGUACCCGAGAAGAAAGGCCCCCGGU
rnacentral:rRNA from 1 species